rnacentral:rRNA from 1 species
UGGGGAAUCUUGCACAAUGCGCGAAAGCGUGAUGCAGCAACGCCGCGUGGGGGAAGAAGGCCUUCGGGUUGUAAACCCCUUUCAGUUGGGACGAAGCUUCGCCGGUGAAUAGCCGGCUGGAGUGACGGUACCUUCACAAGAAGCCCCGGCUAACUACGUGCCAGCAGCCGCGGUAAUACGUAGGGGGCAAGCGUUGUCCGGAAUCAUUGGGCGUAAAGCGCGUGUAGGCGGCCCGGUAAGUCCGCUGUGAAAGUCGGGGGCUCAACCCUCGAAUGCCGGUGGAUACUGUCGGGCUAGAGUGCGGAAGAGGCGAGUGGAAUUCCUGGUGUAGCGGUGAAAUGCGCAGAUAUCAGGAGGAACACCAAUUGCGAAGGCAGCUCGCUGGGACGUGACUGACGCUGAGACGCGAAAGCGUGGGGAGCAAACA